rfam:Pedobacter sp. AJM contig06, whole genome shotgun sequence.
GGGAAAUUAGUUCAGUUGGUUCAGUGCAUCCCGACUUUAUCAGUCGGGAGGGUCGGGGGUUCGAACCCCUCAUUUCCCA